rnacentral:rRNA from 1 species
UACGUAGGAUCCAAGCGUUGUCCGGAUUUACUGGGCGUAAAGGGUGCGCAGGCGGACUGGUUAGUCUGGGGUGAAAUCUCAUCGCUUAACGGUGAAACUGCCUUAGAUACUGCCAGUCUUGAAUCAGCGAGAGGUUCGUGGAAUUCCGAGUGUAGCAGUGAAAUGUGUAGAUAUUCGGAAGAACACCAGUGGCGAAGGCAGCGAACUGGCGCUCGAUUGACGCUCAGGCACGAAAGCAUGGGGAUCAAACAGG